rnacentral:rRNA from 1 species
AUUCCUACGGGAGGCAGCAGUGGGGAAUCUUGGACAAUGGGCGCAAGCCUGAUCCAGCCAUGCCGCGUGAGUGAUGAAGGCCUUAGGGUCGUAAAGCUCUUUCGCCAGGGAUGAUAAUGACAGUACCUGGUAAAGAAACCCCGGCUAACUCCGUGCCAGCAGCCGCGGUAAUACGGAGGGGGUUAGCGUUGUUCGGAAUUACUGGGCGUAAAGCGCGCGUAGGCGGGUUGUUAAGUUAGAGGUGAAAUCCCGGGGCUCAACCCCGGAACUGCCUUUAAUACUGGCAACCUAGAGUUCGAGAGAGGUGAGUGGAAUUCCGAGUGUAGAGGUGAAAUUCGUAGAUAUUCGGAGGAACACCAGUGGCGAAGGCGGCUCACUGGCUCGAUACUGACGCUGAGGUGCGAAAGUGUGGGGAGCAAACAGGAUUAGAUACCCUGGUAGUCCACACCGUAAACGAUGAAUGCCAGUCGUCGGGUAGCAUGCUAUUCGGUGACACACCUAACGGAUUAAGCAUUCCGCCUGGGGAGUACGGUCGCAAGAUUAAAACUCAAAGGAAUUGACGGAAU